CCCUUAGAUGUUCUGGGCCGCACGCGCGCUACACUGAUGCAUUCAACGAGUCUAAAACCUGCUCUGAUAGGGGUGGGUAAUCUUUUGAAUGUGCAUCGUGAUUGGGAUAGAUGAUUGCAAUUUUUCAUCUUCAACGAGGAAUGCCUAGUAAACGCAAGUCAUCAGCUUGCAUUGAUUACGUCCCUGCCCUUUGUACACACCGCCCGUCGCUCCUACCGAUUGAAUGAUCCGAUGAAUAUCAUGGAUUGAGGAUGCAAGCAGGUUCGCCUGUCUGCAUCUUCGAGAAGUGAAGUAAAUCUUAUCAUUUAGAGGAAGGAGAAGUCGUAACA
rnacentral:rRNA from 1 species